AUUGAACGCUGGCGGCAGGCCUAACACAUGCAAGUCGAGCGGAUGAAGGGAGCUUGCUCCUGGAUUCAGCGGCGGACGGGUGAGUAAUGCCUAGGAAUCUGCCUGGUAGUUGGGGAUAACGUCCGGAAACGGGCGCUAAUACCGCAUACGUCCUGAGGGAGAAAGUGGGGGAUCUUCGGACCUCACGCUAUCAGAUGAGCCUAGGUCGGAUUAGCUAGUUGGUGGGGUAAAGGCCUACCAAGGCGACGAUCCGUAACUGGUCUGAGAGGAUGAUCAGUCACACUGGAACUGAGACACGGUCCAGACUCCUACGGGAGGCAGCAGUGGGGAAUAUUGGACAAUGGGCGAAAGCCUGAUCCAGCCAUGCCGCGUGUGUGAAGAAGGUCUUCGGAUUGUAAAGCACUUUAAGUUGGGAGGAAGGGCAGUAAGUUAAUACCUUGCUGUUUUGACGUUACCAAAAGAAUAAGCACCGGCUAACUUCGUG
rnacentral:rRNA from 1 species